UAGAGUUUGAUUAUGGCUCAGGACAAACGCUGGCGGCAUGCCUAACACAUGCAAGUCGAACGGGGCUUAUAUGAUGGAACUCUCCGGAGGGAAGACAUGUAAGCCUAGUGGCGGACGGGUGAGUAACGCGUGGGGAACCUGCCCUGUACUGGGGGACAACAGCCAGAAAUGGCUGCUAAUACCGCAUAAUCCUGCGCUGCCGCAUGGCAGCGCAAGGAAAACUUCUGUGGUACAGGAUGGUCCCGCGUCUGAUUAACUUGUUGGCGGGGUAACGGCCCACCAAGGCGACGAUCAGUAGCCGGCUUGAGAGAGCGGACGGCCACAUUGGGACUGACACACUGCCCACACUCCUGCGGGAGGCACCCCUGGGGAAUAUUGCACAGUGGGGGGAACCCUGAUGCAGCAAUGCCGCGUGGGUGAACAACUACCCCGGUAUGUAAAGCCCUGUCAUCAAGGAAUAAAAUGACGGUACCUGACUAGAAAGCCCCGGCUAACUACGUGCCAGCAGCCGCGGUAAUACCUACGGGGCGAGCGUUAUCCGGAUUUACUGGGUGUAAAGGGAGCGCAUGCGGCGUGUCAAGUCGUAUGUGAAAACCCGGGACCCAACCCCGGGACUGCUUUUGACAGUGCCGUGCUGGAGUGCCUGAGACGCGAGUGCAAUUCCUAGUGUAGCAGUUAAAUGCGUAGAUAUUAAGAUG
rnacentral:rRNA from 1 species